UGCUCAGGACGAACGCUGGCGGCGUGCCUAAUACAUGCAAGUCGAGCGGACAGAUGGGAGCUUGCUCCUGAUGUUAGCGGCGGACGGGUGAGUAACACGUGGGUAACCUGCCUGUAAGACUGGGAUAACUCCGGGAAACCGGGGCUAAUACCGGAUGGUUGUCUGAACCGCAUGGUUCAGACAUAAAAGGUGGCUUCGGCUACCACUUACAGAUGGACCCGCGGCGCAUUAGCUAGUUGGUGAGGUAACGGCUCACCAAGGCGACGAUGCGUAGCCGACCUGAGAGGGUGAUCGGCCACACUGGGACUGAGACACGGCCCAGACUCCUACGGGAGGCAGCAGUAGGGAAUCUUCCGCAAUGGACGAAAGUCUGACGGAGCAACGCCGCGUGAGUGAUGAAGGUUUUCGGAUCGUAAAGCUCUGUUGUUAGGGAAGAACAAGUGCCGUUCAAAUAGGGCGGCACCUUGACGGUACCUAACCAGAAAGCCACGGCUAACUACGUGCCAGCAGCCGCGGUAAUACGUAGGUGGCAAGCGUUGUCCGGAAUUAUUGGGCGUAAAGGGCUCGCAGGCGGUUUCUUAAGUCUGAUGUGAAAGCCCCCGGCUCAACCGGGGAGGGUCAUUGGAAACUGGGGAACUUGAGUGCAGAAGAGGAGAGUGGAAUUCCACGUGUAGCGGUGAAAUGCGUAGAGAUGUGGAGGAACACCAGUGGCGAAGGCGACUCUCUGGUCUGUAACUGACGCUGAGGAGCGAAAGCGUGGGGAGCGAACAGGAUUAGAUACCCUGGUAGUCCACGCCGUAAACGAUGAGUGCUAAGUGUUAGGGGGUUUCCGCCCCUUAGUGCUGCAGCUAACG
rnacentral:rRNA from 1 species